UUCCUCUGCCCAAUCCUCUUUCUCUCCAUUCCUUUCAUGGGUGUCGAUCUCUAAUAAAUAUCUGAUAACUCCAACUCUGUUAUUAUUUGGAUGCACUUCUCCUUUGACCUUCUCUGCCAUGUUGUGACACAGCACAAAAGCACUUGCCAGAAGCCAGGGCCAUGUCCUGGAACUUCUCAGCCGGCAGAACCAUGAGCUGAAUCAACUUCUCUUUAUAAGAAGUUCUUUUCUUUCUAUAUACCCAGUCUCAGACAUUCUUUUACAGCAACACAAAAAGUAGUAAGACAAACUCUCUUUCAACACCUGCCUCCAGGGAACUCAAACACAAUUUUAUUGUGGUCAGAUAACAUACUCUGUAUGAUUCCAAUUAUUUUAAAUAUAUUGAGACUUGUCUUGUGCCCCAAUAUAUUUCCUAUCUUAGUGCACAUGCCCUGAGCACUUGGAAAAAAAGGUAUAUUCUGCAGUUGCAGGUUCUAUAAACAUCAAUUAGGUCAAGAUCAAGGUUGCUGAUAGCGUUCUUCAGAUAAUCAUUGUCCAUACUGAUUUCUCUCACUGUUCUAUCAAUUUCUUAAAGAGGGAUAUUAAAAUCUCCAAUUACGAUUGUAGAAUUGUUAGUGUCUCCCUUUAAUUCUUCCAAUAUCUGCUUCAUGUACUUUGGAGCUCUGUUUAGGUGCGUAGACACUUAUGAAUGUUAUGUCUUUCUGUUGAGUUGAUCCCUUUAUCUUUUUAAAGUGUUCCUUUUUAUCUCUGCUCAUACUAAUUAUCAAGGAUUCUGUUUUGUCUGAUAUGAAUAUAGACAUUUCAGACAUCUUAUGCUUACUAUUUCUAUGGUAUAUCUUUUUCAAUUCAUUUACUUUUAACAUAUCUGUGGUUUCUAAAGUCUGGAUGUUGUAGAGAUUGGGUCUCACUUUCUUAGCCAUUGUGAAAAUUUUUGUCUUUGAAUUGAAAUGUUUAGUGCAUUAACUUUUAAUGUAAUUAUGGUUAGGGUUGGAUUUAGCUCUAACAUCUUAUUAUUUGUAUUGUUUGUCCCCUCAGAUUUUGUUCCUCCGUAUCUCUCUUCAUACUUCCAUUAGGAACUUUUGAAUAUUUGCAGAGGUUUAUUUUAAUUUAUUUGUUGUGUUUUGGCCAUACCUCUUUGCAUUACUCCUUAGUGGUUUCUCUAUAGAUUGCUUUAUACAUCCUUGGCUUUCACAGUCUACUUGAAAUUAAUAUUGUACCAUAUCACAUGAAAUUUAUUGUAAACUUGCUAUAAGAUAGGUGUGCCCUCCUUUCAUUAUGUAAACUUGUCAUAUGUAUUGCAUUUAAUACCUUACAUUCCAUAUAAGAUAAUAAGUUUUGUUAUAAAUAAUCUGAAAUAUUUUAAAGAAUUUAAAAACAAAAACCAGUCUUUUAUAUUUAUCAACAUAUUUAGCUUUUCUGAUACUCAUCAUUGCUUUCUGAGGUUCCAUCUACUAUGAUUUCCUUUCAACUUGAGGAACCAUAGAGUUCUCUGGGUAUACAUUGUUUUAGUUUUCUUUUAUCUGAAAAAUGUGAUUAUUUCACAGUCAUUCAUGAAUAAUACUUUUUGCUGGAUAUAAAUUUUGAGGGUGAAGGUUUUUAAAUUCAGUUUUGUUUCUUUCCUAUAAGAAGGAUACAGAUACACUGUCUUCUGGCCCUUGUAGUCUUUGAUGGUAAGUCACCAGUCAUUUUUAUUGUGUUUUGAAAUACAUUUAAUGUGUAAUUUUUCUGUCCUUGAUGAUUUUCUUUGGGUAUUUUGUUGGUUUCUUUUAAGACAGGGCCCCACUCUGUCAUCUAGGUUGGAGUGCAGUGGUGUGAUUUUGACUCACUGCACCCCCUGCCUCCCAGGCUCUAGUGAUCCUCCCACAUCACUUAGACUCCCACACAUUAAUAAUGGGAGACGUUAACACCCCACUGUCAACAUUAGACAGAUCAACGAGACAGAAAGUCAACAAGAAUACCCAGGAAUUGAACUCAGCUCUGCACCAAGUGGACCUAAUAGACAUCUACAGAACUCUCCACCCCAAAUCAACAGAAUACACAUUUUUUUNNNNNNNNNNNNNNNNNNNN
rnacentral:lncRNA from 1 species